rnacentral:rRNA from 1 species
UACAGAGGUCUCAAGCGUUGUUCGGAUUCAUUGGGCGUAAAGGGUGCGUAGGUGGCGCCGUAAGUCAGGUGUGAAAUUUCGGAGCUUAACUCCGAAACUGCAUUUGAUACUGCGGUGCUUGAGGACUGGAGAGGAGACUGGAAUUUACGGUGUAGCAGUGAAAUGCGUAGAGAUCGUAAGGAAGGCCAGUGGCGAAGGCGAGUUCCUGGACAGUUACUGACGCUGAGGCACGAAGGCCAGGGGAGCAAACGGG